rnacentral:rRNA from 1 species
GAUGAACGCUAGCGGCAGGCUUAAUACAUGCAAGUCGAGGGGUAACAGGUCUGUAGCAAUACAGAUGCUGACGACCGGCAAACGGGUGCGGAACAUGUACAGAACCUUCCUUCGAGUGGGAGAUAGCCCAGGGAAACUUGGAGUAAUAUCCCAUAGGAUCAUAGAGUGGCAUCACUUAGUGAUUAAAGAUUUAUCGCUUGAAGAUGGCUGUGAGGCUGAUUAGGUAGUUGGUGUAGGUAACGGCUCACCAAGCCUUCGAUCAGUAACUGGUGUGAGAGCGCGACCAGUCACACGGGCACUGAGACACGGGCCCGACUGCUACGGGAGGCAGCAGUAAGGAAUAUUGGGCAAUGGAGGCAACUUUGACCCAGCCAUGGCGCGUGGAGGAUGAAGGUCCUCUGGAUUGUAAACUUCUUUUAUUUGGGAAGAAAUGCCAUUUUUCUAAAUGGUUUGACGGUACCAGAUGAAUAAGCACCGGCUAACUACGUGCCAGCAGCCGCCGUAAUAC